GAUGAACGCUGGCGGCGUGCUUAACACAUGCAAGUCGAACGAAGCACUUUAUUUGAUUUCCUUCGGGACUGAUUAUUUUGUGACUGAGUGGCGGACGGGUGAGUAACGCGUGGGUAACCUGCCUUGUACAGGGGGAUAACAGUUGGAAACGGCUGCUAAUACCGCAUAAGCGCACAGCAUCGCAUGAUGCAGUGUGAAAAACUCCGGUGGUAUAAGAUGGACCCGCGUUGGAUUAGCUAGUUGGUGAGGUAACGGCCCACCAAGGCGACGAUCCAUAGCCGACCUGAGAGGGUGACCGGCCACAUUGGGACUGAGACACGGCCCAAACUCCUACGGGAGGCAGCAGUGGGGAAUAUUGCACAAUGGGCGAAAGCCUGAUGCAGCGACGCCGCGUGAGCGAAGAAGUAUUUCGGUAUGUAAAGCUCUAUCAGCAGGGAAGAUGAUGACGGUACCUGACGAAGAAGCACCGGCUAAAUACGUG
rnacentral:rRNA from 1 species